rnacentral:rRNA from 1 species
GAUGAACGCUAGCUACAGGCUUAACACAAGCAAGUCGAGGGGUAACGAGAGGAAAGCUUGCUUUCCUUGUCGACGACCGGCGCACGGGUGAGUAACGCGUAUCCAACCUGCCCCCAACUAGGGAAUAACCUUGCGAAAGUAAGACUAAUACCCUAUAAUUUCCUCAGAUGUCAUCUGACGAGGAAUAAAGAUUUAUCGGUUAUGGAUGGGGAUGCGUCUGAUUAGCUUGUUGGCGGGGUAACGGCCCACCAAGGCAACGAUCAGUAGGGGUUCUGAGAUGAAGGUCCCCCUCAUUGUAACUGAGACACGGUCCAAACUCCUACGGGAGGCAGCAGUGAGGAAUAUUGGUCAAUGGGCGGAAGCCUGAACCAGCCAAGUAGCGUGCAGGAUGACGGCCCUAUGGGUUGUAAACUGCUUUUAUACAGGAAUAAAGUUGGCCACGUGUGGUUAUUUGUAGGUACUGUAUGAAUAAGGACCGGCUAAUUCCGUGCCAGCCGCCGCGGUAA